UCGGGGUUUCGUACGUAGCAGAGCA
rnacentral:piRNA from 8 species